rnacentral:rRNA from 1 species
AGAGUUUGAUCCUGGCUCAGGAUGAACGUUGGUGGCAUGACUAACAUAUGCAAGUCGAACGCGAAAGGAGCAAUCUGAGUAAAGUGGCGAAAGGGUGAGUAAUGCUUAUCUUACCUACCGUUUAGUGGAUCUUUCGCAAGAAAGGUUAGCCAUGGGAAACUAUGGUUAGGGUAAUCCCGCAUAUUCUGGCUUCGGCCAGG